GUAACUGCUCAAGUGUCUGCAUGUUAUAUAAAAGUGAAUGGCACUCAUUAAUGUCCUUUAUUGUUUUAGACACCACUAAUUUGGGAUCCUUAAACACAUUAUCUUCUGGAAUGGCUAAACUGUUAAUGAAAAUCUACUUCUGAGAUAAUAUGAGCUUUAAAAUUUGUUUCCAUCUUUAUGAUAUACAUCUUUGACAUGGGAUUAUUCACUUAAUAUUUGACCUUACUUUUUAAUUAAUUUGGCAGAAGUCCUCCAAUCCACCAUCAGCGAGACCGAACUCCUCCAGUCCAGCUACAGAUAAGCCCCACAGCUGCUGACCCAUUUCAGAGAAGGAAUGACCCAAAACGACCACUAAAUCCUCAACUUUUUCUUGACACUUCUGCGGUGAGAAAAAUUCCCUAACAAAAAAAACGGUCAUAUCCAGAGAUGGCUUCAGCUUGCUCCGGAUUGGGAUGGAGGAAGAAGAGAACGGCUGAAGAGAAAGGAGAUGAUAAAUAGCUGUGCCUCUCAUUUAGAGCCAUAAUAGCUUAUGCGUGCGAACACAUACGAAAUACAUUCAUUUCCUUUUCAUGUGCACACACGCAGUUAUGUGUUAUGUUGUUUAUAAAGUUUAAUUUUGUCUUUCUUUGGUUUAUAACGUUUUCAUUUAGUCCGUAUUCGGUUUCAUUUUUUCAAGUGUUAAGGUACUGUUCAUUUAAAGUCUAAAGGUUUCCGUUUUACAUAAAAAUAUGUUCAACACAAUGUGUUCACUUUAUUUUUAUUUGUAAAUAAAAAAUGUUUAUUGAAAAACAA